AACAACUUGUAUAUGCAUACGUA
rnacentral:miRNA from 1 species